rnacentral:rRNA from 1 species
CGCGUAGGUGGUCUUGCAAGCGGGGGAUGAAAGCCCAUGGCUCACCCAUGGAACUGUCUCCCGGACUGCAAGGCUCGAGGAAGGAAGGGAGAAUGGAAUUCCCGGUGUAGCGGUGAAAUGCGUAGAUAUCGGGAGGAACGCCGGUGGCGAAAGCGAUUCUCUGGUCCUUUCCUGACACUGAGGCGCGAAAGCUAGGGGAGCAAAACA